rnacentral:rRNA from 1 species
AGUCCACAUCGACGGGGAGGGUUAGCACCACGAUGUCAGCGCAUCACAUCCUGGGGCUGUAGUAGGGCCCAAGGGUUGGGCUGUUCGGCCAUUAAAGUGGUACGCGAGCUGGGUUCAGAACGUCGUGGGACAGUUCGGUCCCUAUCCGGCGCAGGCGGAGGAAAUUUGAGAAGACCUGUCCUUAGUACGAGAGGACCGGGAUGGACGUACCUCUGGUGUACCAGUUGU